UACGAGGGGGGCAAGCGUUGUUCGGAAUUAUUGGGCGUAAAGGGCGCGUAGGCGGUGCGGUAAGUCACCUGUGAAAACUCUGGGCUCAACUCAGAGCCUGCAGGCGAAACUGCCGUGCUGGAGUGUGGGAGAGGUGCGUGGAAUUCCCGGUGUAGCGGUGAAAUGCGUAGAUAUCAGGAGGAACACCUGCGGUGUAGACGGCUUUCUGGACCAUUGCUGACGCUGAGGCACGAAAGCGUGGGUAGCAAACAGG
rnacentral:rRNA from 1 species